rnacentral:rRNA from 1 species
UACGUAGGGUCCGAGCGUUGUCCGGAAUUAUUGGGCGUAAAGGGCUCGUAGGCGGUUCGUCACGUCGGGAGUGAAAACUCGGAGCUUAACUCCGAGCCUGCUUCCGAUACGGGCAGACUAGAGGUAGGCAGGGGAGAGCGGAACUCCUGGUGUAGCGGUGAAAUGCGCAGAUAUCAGGAGGAACACCGGUGGCGAAGGCGCCACUCUGGGCCGAAACUGACGCUGAGGAGCGAAAGCGUGGGUAGCAAACAGG